GAGUUGAUCGUGGCUCAGGAUGAACGCUGGCGGCGUGCCUAACACAUGCAAGUCGAACGGAGUUCUUAAGGAAUGCGGCUUCGGCCAAAUGACUUUUGAACUUAGUGGCGGACGGGUGAGUAACGCGUGAGCAACCUGCCUUUCAGAGGGGGAUAACAUUUGGAAACAGAUGCUAAUACCGCAUAAGAUUACAGUACCGCAUGAUACAGUGAUCAAAGGAGCAAUCCGCUGAAAGAUGGGCUCGCGUCCGAUUAGAUAGUUGGUGAGGUAACGGCUCACCAAGUCGACGAUCGGUAGCCGGACUGAGAGGUUGAACGGCCACAUUGGGACUGAGACACGGCCCAGACUCCUACGGGAGGCAGCAGUGGGGAAUAUUGCACAAUGGGCGAAAGCCUGAUGCAGCAACGCCGCGUGAGGGAAGACGGUUUUCGGAUUGUAAACUCUGUUUCGGUUGACGAACAAAUGACGGUAACCGAGUAGGAAACCACGGCUAACUACGUGCCAGCAGCCGCCGUAAU
rnacentral:rRNA from 1 species